CUCCUCAACGGCUGUAAUGGAAGACACUGCGGUUGCUGCGCUCCAUUGAUACACACUUCUUCUUUGAGGGGGGGGGGGAAACACUUAUUCUGAGGUUGUUGUGAAGCUAGGAAGGGCUGUGUGCUCCAGCCCAGUGGUAGUAUUCGUUACAUGGGCACUGAAUUGAGUUUUGGGGCGUGUUUAACAUGCAAACAGGCUUGGUAUUGACCACGGAUAGUAAAGUGAACUUUUCCGAGACCCAAAGUUGUCAGGCAGCGCAUCUUGUACGCAUGCGCAUCCUUCUAUCCAGCAGCUCUAAAUAAGAGUUAAAACAGAAACGAGGUUGCCAAUAUAGGAGGAGUGGUAAUGACUGACACUCCACCCAGUGAUGGCCCCUCCCAGGGAGCUGAGUUUGACAUGAUGGGUGCUCUGGACUGGAAGGACGGUAUUGCUACGUUGCCAGGCAGUGACAUCAGGUUUCGCAUGACAGAGUUUGGGACCCUUGAGAUUGUCACUGAUGUAGAAUCCAAAGGGCAGGAGGCACGGCCGAACUCUGGGACAUUGGACCCAGCACAGUCCCAAACUCCCACCCCUCCCCCAGAGAGCCAAUCACAGACAAGUACAGCCACAGUGCCAGCCAAUAAGAUUCAGCCAGGAUCAUCUCAAGUUAAAGCCCCCCGUCUUGUGCUUCUGUCUCUAGAGGAGGGCCCAAGUAUGGAGGGCCCCAGUGUGGAGGUUGGACCUAGUGUUGAAGUUGGCUCUAAUGCAGCAGAUAUUGGUCCGAAUGGGGAGCUGUCAAGGUGUCGGGCAUGUGGUGGCAGUGUUCCUCGGGAUGCCCUCCUUCAGGGCAAAUUCUGUAGCUCCAUUUGUGCCCAGCCCUCCAGUGGCAGAUCCUCUCCGGGUGAAUCAAGAGAGAGUCAAGCAGUGGAGGGUGAGAGGCUGGGCAAACGAGUGCGCAAAAAGAGGAAGAUCUACAUGAAUUCUGGUGAUGAAGAGGAAGAUAAUCAAGAGGAACCAGAGGAAAAAGCCAAGUCAACCAAAGGCAGAAGAGGUGCCAAAAUUGCCAAACUGGUCACUGCCCCAACUAACAAGAAACGGGCGUGGAGCUGGCCUGCUUACUUGGAAGAGGAGAGGUCAAUCGCUGCUCCUGUUAAGCUGUUCAAAGAGCACCAGUCGUUUCCACAAAGCAGAAAUAGCUUUAAGGUUGGGAUGAAGCUGGAGGGUUUGGACCCAUCUCACCCGUCUCUGUUCUGUGUGCUUACUGUUGCAGAGAUCCAAGGCUACAGGAUAAGACUCCACUUUGAUGGUUACCCAGAGUGCUACGACUUCUGGGCAAACGCAGACUCGUGGGAUAUAAAACCAGCCGGCUGGUGUGAGAAGAAUGGACACAAAUUAUUGUUGCCUAAAGGCUGUAAGGAUGGAGAGUUUAAUUGGAGCAUGUAUGUGAAGAACUGCAGGGGUCAGCUAGCCCCAAAACACCUUUUCAAGAGCCUCAACACAUCUGUGACGCCAUCUGGGUUCAGAGCAGGGAUGAAGCUUGAGGCAGUGGACAGGAAGAACCCAACGUUGAUCUGUGUAGCAACGAUUGCUGCUGUCGUUGACAACCGACUGCUCAUUCAUUUUGACAACUGGGACGAUACAUAUGAUUACUGGUGUGAUGCUAGCAGUCCUUACAUCCAUCCUGUGGGUUACUGUGAAGAUGUCAAGCUAGCUCUGACCACUCCAGCUGAAUAUAAGCAGCCCAAGGCCUUCUCAUGGGAGAAAUACCUGGAAGAGACGGGCACACAAGCUGCUCCUGCUCGGGCUUUCAAACCGAGACCUCCACACGGCUUUCAGUUUAGCAUGAAAGUUGAAGCCGUUGAUAAGCGGAACCCCAUGCUCAUCCGGGUUGCAACUGUAGUGGACACAGAGGACCACCGACUGAAGGUUCAUUUUGAUGGCUGGAGUUUAGAGUACGACUACUGGGUGGAGACAGACUGUGCUGAUCUCCACCCUGUUGGAUGGUGUCAGAAAACUGGACACCCGCUACAAUAUCCUAACGGCUCCAGUGAAUUAUUGACCGCCCCCGGACAAGGAUGUCCCACCCCAGGAUGUAACGGGGUGGGACACAUCAGAGGACCUCGCUAUGGGACGCACUACACGUUAGUAGCACCCACCAGUCAGGUGAGCUGUCCGUACUCGGAGACCAACUUGAACAAGGAGGGCUUGCUUCCAGAUCGCCUCAGUGGAGAAAGACCUCCCGCCCUCAGUGGACCUCAACCUCGGGGUCGACGCCCCGAUUCUCAAUCAGUCACUGCCGCACUGACCUCCUCUGUGCCAGAGCAGCUGGAAGGAGCGGAAGACCCCCAGAACAGGAAACCAGCGACAGUGGAAGCUGAGCGUUCAGGACGCAACAUCCAGCCAGAGCCACUAGGUGGAGCCAGCGAGCAGAGCCACAAUGGAACCAGGCCUAAACGGAGUGCUCCAGUUCCCAAAUACCUGAAAAUGCACUAUGUAAAAGAGGAGAUUGGAGAUAGUAAAGCCUCUCCGGAUGCAAUCUCUCUCCAGCAGGCCCUCCACGAAUCAGUGUUCUCCCCUGGCAUCUCCGCCUCCCCCCCUCACCGGGUGGCUCUCUGCUGGGACAAACACUGCCAGCUGCUGCCUGAGGUCCUGGGGCUGACUGCCAAGCGAGUGGCCACUUGGAGCGCUGAGGAGGUUGCAGGUUUCGUCAAAGGACUGCCAGGAUGCAAAGAGCAUGCUGCUACAUUUAAAACAGAGCAAAUCGAUGGCGAGGCCUUCCUGCUGCUAACCCAAGCAGACAUUGUCAAGAUCCUGUCAAUCAAGCUAGGACCCGCCCUAAAAAUCUACAACUCCAUCCUCAUGUUGAAAAAUGCGGACGAGGAGUAAGAGCCAUUACCUCUGCUUCAGUGUCAUCAACACUUAGCUGAAGACUUUGAAUCAAAUCAGCCUGAAGCGGUGUCAUCUGUGGAACUCUGCAGCAAGUGCAGCGACACAAGAGAAACAAGUGGAAGCCAUCAUCUUGAAAAAAACAUCCCCCCACCUUAUCCCCCCCCUCCUAGUCUCUCUGUGAUGGACAGAACUGAUGAACACAGAGAAAGACAUUUACAUGAAACUAUGAGGAUUCGUCGACUUUUUUUGUGUUUGUUUACUGAAUCAUUACAAAAAAAACAAUUGGCACCUUCAAUGCUUCUUAACAUUGUACAGUUUUUUGAUUGGAUUUUUGUGUCAGGGUUCUGUUUCUUUUUACUUUAAAGUUUUGAGCUCACAGAAGAUAAACAAGCAUUUUAGUGUUUUGUUGCUUUUUACUCAGCAACAACAGAUCGUUUUUUGGUUUUUUUUAAGCUGCAAAAUACAAUCGUGAUGCGGUGAGAGGUUUUUAAAUGUGAAACCCCGUGGAGCAGAAGCACUAUGUUGUUCAGCCUUUGUCCUCCAGAUGGAGAAAGUGAGCCGCUCUACAGGCCCCUGAGUCUGAAGCCAAAGGAUGACAGCAGCCAGUCCUGUCUGUAGCCCCGCCUCCUCCCACUCUUCCCACUCUUCCCCUGCUUGCCUCCCAACAUGCCACAGACACCUGGGGGAGGGCAAAUCCCUCAAAACCAAACUCCACCUGCGCUCCGGCCCCGGGGUGUGGCUCAUGCUGGGUGUAGCAGUAGUUUUGGUGGGGAUGUCUGUUGCAGUGACAGGUUAUGUUUCUGCGGCACCAAAACCCGUGGGUGGUCGAGGCAGCACCCAUGUUGAGAGGAUGAAACUGGCCGGUCCUGUGGUCAUGGGAGUGGGCCUCUUCAUCUUCAUCUGUGCCGCCACACUGCUCUACGAGAACCGGGACCGUGAAGUCCUCAGACUGGAGAUACCCGACGACCUGGAGGAUCUGAAGGGAGGAAACGGAUGGGAAGAUCUGCAGGAGCAGCCCAGCUUCAGCUGCCCGGAGCAGUGGGAGUGUGGAGAUGGAGAACAGGGUUGCUGGGCCACUCCAGCCCACGCACGCCCCCUCUUAGACCAGAACUGUGGUCCUCUUCAUCCUCCUCCAUUAGGCAGGAACAGACAAAACAUCAGCAGUAGACUGUCCCCAACGCCUCCUUUAGAAGCAGGAGGUAGAAAUAAAGAUGAAUACAGAGAGGAGGAUGAGAAGGAAGGAAGAUCAACACUGUUGGCUCGAGUUCUGCACCACCAGGAGCCGACUCCUCACCCUCCCUCCCCCUGCUUGUCCAUCUCUCACUCCUCUGUCUACUCAGACUCCUGCAACUCCAGUGAAAUCAACUUCAACAUACGGACAGGCUCUCCUCUGCCAGCUCAAAACGGAACCUCCUACUGAUUCAACUCUCAUAAAAUAUGCAUGAUCAGAUACACUGGUUUCACGUGCCGGCAUUGAACUAAAGACAGGACCGUUUCUUUCAUAUGUUCCAAUGCGUCUGAGUGGCGCAGUGGCUCUGAGUCACAUUUUGUGAGGGUUUUUUUGUCCUACAUCUUUCUCUGACUCACCCACGUUUGAAAAAUCGGAGCAAUGCUGUUUGAUGUCAACUAAACCCAUCUUGUUGUCUUUGAACUCACCCAUGCCCAAAUUCCCCAGAGCCACUGCCUGUUUGACCAUAUUAGGACGUGAGCAGGAUUGCUCAAAAAACUUGGGUGCCAUACCGGGAGAGAACACACUCAAGACUGCCCCCCCUUUUCUUCUUAACACACACAGACAUCCUCUGCAGAGAUACAGCAGCUACAUUUCCUCACUGGAGAGGUUUUGUAAGAGGAUGAGCCAGAUUAGGUCUGAAUGGAGUCUUUAUCUAAUCUCACACAUACUGUAAUCUACUCUUUAUCUGAGCAAAUUGGGUUUCAGUAUAAACAAGAGGAGCACAAAAGGACACACUGCACUCACUCCACACCUACAGCCACGCUAUAAAUACCAGCUGGUGCUCUGUACGCACGCAAUGUGGA